CUUGUACGUAAAUGGGUCGGUUGCUGUAUAAACACGUCAAUUGGACAGAUAGCUAGCUGACUGCUACAUUAGGCGGCGGCUGUCUGUAAACAAUAGGAUAACAGGUAAAUAUGUAGCUACAAUUCUAGCUUAAAAAGCAAACACAUACGAGAGGCAUUAAAUACACAUACAUAUACAUAAGCAAACACACACACACAAUUUGAAAGAUUUCGUUCUUGUUCUUUAUAAAACAAAAAAGAGUCAUAAAAAUAAACACAAGCAAUUCAGUUUUUUUUAUUAUUUGUAUGUUAACAAAAGCUGAAGCCGAUAAGAUAGAUGAAUGCGACAGCUUUAUAAUGUUUAUCAUUAUGAUAAGAUGCGGGAUGUUGUUUGGCAACGUGAACGUGUAAAGUGGAUGCAAUCUCUAUCACCCUCCCUCCCUCUCUUUCAUAAAUGACCUGAGUCAGCAACAUUUGCCAAAGUGCCUCUGUCCCUUUCGCUCACUCGCAUUCGCUUCGCUUAUAGUCGAUUAACCUAAUAUUGAGUUGUUCUUGCAGCAGAUACACACAAACAACUAUGCACAAGCAUACAAGCUCACACAUAAGGUUGUACUUGCCACACAGCUGAGUGCAACAUGGCGAGUGGAAUUUUCCGUUGUUCGGAAAUACACGAAGCGUCCGCUUCACAUUGUUGUUGUAGUUGUUGUUGUGACGUAAUAAAAGCGCCGCUAUUGGACCGAAAAUCAUUGCCCGCAGCAAAGCAAAGUUGCACUUCACCAUUCAGAUGAGUGAUUCUGUGAUUUGGGUUUCCCAAUUUUUGUUAAAUUCAGUAUAAUUGGCAACAGAUACAUAUGUAGUUAUAUAUGUAUGGUAAAAAUUGAUUAAUAAAGUAGAAGAAAAUGGCGACUGAAUCCUAAGCAUGUUCCAUGCCAUUGUUCCAUGAAACUUUCUAAUACAGUAACAAGUGCUCAGCACACUUUAACGACAACAACAAGAAUACUGGAAUAACAUUGGAACAAACAAACCGGUUGGAGUUCCAAUUCUUUUUUGUUCUCUCCACAGACGACACACAAAGUCAUGGGGUCGAAGCUUUUUUGUUGUUGCUGUUGUGUGUGUUCUUCCGUUUGUUUAUUUUGGCAGCGAGAUAAUCAGAUGGAGUGCAAGCAAUGCUGACUGUGCUGCUCGCAGAGAGAGAGAGAGAGAUGGACUGAUAAGGGUAGCCAUUAGUCUUAUUGCUUAAGACGUAAUAAGAGUAAAUAUUAGCAAAACAUAAAAGUAAAAUAAAAAACUGUUCGCCUAGAAAGUUCCAAAUGGCGCUGGGCCAAGAGAAAAAAAACAGUUGUUGUCAUGCAACUGCGUAUUGUAAACGCUUCAAGCACAAAUUGAAAGUAAAGUCAAUUCAGCAAAUUAAAAAUGACUUUAAAAACGAAUCGAAAAAAAUCAUAAAAAUAGUUCGAUUACACACACACAAUUAAAAAUACAUAUGUUUGUGUUGGAAUUUCAACAGCGUUGCCAGACCGGUCGAACACUACACGUCAAUAAAGCAAAUAAUACGACAACAACAACAAUAUGUUUUAAAGGUGAAAAAGAUGGCUGCUAAAGGGGAAGAAAAAAAAAACAAAAUAAAAUAUGCAAAAAAUAAAGUAAAAAAUUACAUUCCAAAGAAACACAAAUCGUUAUUGAAAUAUGUAUGUUUUGAAAUUAAUCAUUUACUUUACCUACUGUUCGCACAUUAUCUCAUUUCUUUGUUUGGUUAUGUGCGCUCACGCAUACACUCUCAUCUGCAAUGAGCAACACACAUACAUGCACCAAUAUGCAUAGUACAUACAUGUACUUGCUAUGUGUUUACAUGUAUACAGUUAACCACCAACACCGAUCCGAAAUUUGUUAGCAAUUACACUACUUGUACAUACAACUUGCCAUUCGUAUUUAUUUAUAAAUAACUCUAAAAUUAAUAUGCCACCAAUUGGAUUGGAUCCGAUUUGUUACGGUACCCAGCACUUUUAUUUUUUAUUUUGCAUUCUCUUUUUUUCACUACAAAAUCGAUUUUUGCACUAUUAUUUCUCUCUGUAUGGUUGUAAAAAAAACAACCAUUACUUACAGUUUAUUAUUCAUGUUUGAUGGCAUUUUCACACUUAAUGAUUGCAACUUAACGCACAAAGAAACAAAAAUUUGGUUUUGUUGAAUAAAACUUAUUCUCUGAUUUAGCGAAAGGCGUUUGCGAGAACUCUGCACUUGCGA